UUGUUUGGUGACUAAAGAACUAGUGCUAUAACAGUCUUAAGAUGACACUAAGCUGUUAAUCUUAAAGAACUAGUGCUAUAACAGUCUUAAGGUAACACUAAGUUGUUAAUCUUAAAGAACUAGUGCUAUAACAGUCUUAAGGUGACACUAAGUUGUUUGGUGACUAAAGAACUAGUGCUAUAACAGUCUUAAGGUGACACUAAGCUGUUUUUACAUAAAUAAGUAAACAUAAUUCACUGGUAGUUCACCAUAUACUUAUUGUUGGAUUUCGGAUAUUUGUAGCAGAAGAAAGAGAGGCCUUUUUCUUCAUAAAUUAAUGAAAUAUUUCAAAAACGUUGGAAAUAUCCCACCAGUAGAUCUAUGCGCCAUCUACAGUCGUUCUAUGAAGACUACUUUUAUUUAGCUGAGAUGAAAUUAUGUUUAUUUCAACGAGUUUUAUACAAAGUUCGUUUACUUUCAAAUCUUUUGAUUAUUGUAGGACAGCAACAGAUUGCAAGAUUUAGUUAACCCUAAUACUGAGAACAUCAGUUAUAUUUCACGUUUCCGGAACCUAGGUGGCACUUUCAGAAUUGUUUAGUUUUCCAUUGGUUUUUAACGCAAAACAUCGACUUGCACAGUACAUAAGAAGAAUCACACAUCAUUUACGAAUUAAU
rnacentral:lncRNA from 1 species